rnacentral:rRNA from 1 species
UAUACAGCGAAACUGCGAAUGGCUCAUUAUAUAAGUUAUCGUUUAAUUGAUAGUGCCUUACUACUUGGAUAACCGUGGUAAUUCUAGAGCUAAUACAUGCUAAAAACCCCGACUUCGGAAGGGGUGUAUUUAUUAGAUACAAAACCAAUGCCCUUCGGGGCUCUUUGGUGAUUCAUGAUAACUAUACGAAUCGCACGGCCUUGCGCCGGCGAUGGUUCAUUCAAAUUUCUUCCCUAUCAACUUUCGAUGUUUGGGUAUUGGCCAAACAUGGUUGCAACGGGUAACGGAGGGUUAGGGCUCGACCCCGGAGAAGGAGCCUGAGAAACGGCUACUACAUCCAAGGAAGGCAGCAGGCGCGCAAAUUACCCAAUCCCGACUCGGGGAGGUAGUGACAAUAAAUACUGAUACAGGGCCCUUUCGGGCCUUGUAAUUGGAAUGAGUACAAUUUAAAUCCCUUAACGAGGAACAAUUGGAGGGCAAGUCUGGUGCCAGCAGCCGCGGUAAUUCCAGCUCCAAUAGCGUAUAU